AUAAAAAAAUAAUUCACGUAGACGUUUAGCUGAUAUCACGUAGUGUGGCCUGCUUAUAAAUAGAUUUGACGUAGAUAGCGUAGUUAUCGUUAGACGAUUUGUAACAAGUAAUUGUGUAGGUUAUUUUGUACAUGUAUAUGUGUGUGCUAUUUGGAGAUGUUGUUCGUGUAAGCGAGACAGUGAAAAACUGCGCGAAAAUUGCAAGCACUCGAGUAGAUCGAGCUGAAGUUUUCGCGCAGUCGAAGCACGUAUCGCAAGCCUGUGUCCACCAGUGUAAAAAGAGCCACGGCAUCCAAAAGCCACAAGCCGCGUGGAUGUGUACGGUAGCGUAGCCGAGUAGCCCAGCCUAGCUAACGAACGUUUGAACCGCGUAGAACGAACCAGGCGCCCUCGCCGCUGAACCUGGCGAGCUCGUGGACGAUCUACCUGUACCGGCUGUGCAAGCGGCGCAGGGAGAAGCAGGAGCGGCCCUCGCUGAUCCACAUGAUGGGCCUGCGCCGGAGCGGCCAGCUGUCGGCGCGCUCCAAGAUGGGCGCCAAGUGGCUGUCCAAGGUGAAGAAGACGUCGCAGGUGGGCCACAAGGACGGCAGCUCGCUGUCGGUGAUGCGGCUGAGCUCGCUGCCGAGCCAGCUGUCGCUGGGCGGCGCGGGCGCCACGCGCAUCGAGGCCGUGGUCGACUGGGAGCUCGUGCGCCGCAAGUAUCGCGAGCUGCACGGCGGCCUCGCCGAGAAGAAGCCCGAGGACGGCGCCGAGGAAGACGAGGCGGCCGACGGCGCGCCGGACGAGGCCGCGGCCAGCGUCGCGGGCAGCCAGGCGACCCUCGUGGCCGCCGCCCCCGCCGCCGCGACCCCGUGAACGGGCGCGGCCCGCGCGCUCAUCAUGGCGGCGACGACCGAGGCCGCGCGCCAGCUGUGAACGUCAAUUUCAUCACUAUCACGGAGAAUCUGUUUUUCGCGAUUUUCGGCCAAAAGGAUACCGACGACUUCGCCAUGGCACUCAGAGACAACUCGCAACCUGGCUGGACCUUGUUUUUAUUUAAG